rnacentral:rRNA from 1 species
GACGAACGCUGGCGGCGUGCUUAACACAUGCCAGUCGAACGGAAAGGCCCUGCUUUUGUGGGGUGCUCGAGUGGCGAACGGGUGAGUAACACGUGAGUAACCUGCCCUUGACUUUGGGAUAACUUCAGGAAACUGGGGCUAAUACCGGAUAGGAGCUCCUGCUGCAUGGUGGGGGUUGGAAAGUUUCGGCGGUUGGGGAUGGACUCGCGGCUUAUCAGCUUGUUGGUGGGGUAGUGGCUUACCAAGGCUUUGACGGGUAGCCGGCCUGGGAGGGUGACCGGGCACAUUGGGACUGAGGUACGGCCCAGACUCCUACGGGAGGCAGCAGUGGGGAAUAUUGCACAGUGGGCGGAAGCCUGAUGCAGCAACGCCGCGUGCGGGAUGACGGCCUUCGGGUUGUAAACCGCUUUCGCCUGUGACGAAGCGUGAGUGACGGUAAUGGGUAAAGAAGCACCGGCUAACUACGUG